rnacentral:rRNA from 1 species
CCAAUAGCGUAUAUUAAAGUUGUUGCAGUUAAAAAGCUCGUAGUUGAAUUUCGGGGUCAGUAGGCUGGUCGUGCCACAGGUAUGUACUGGUCUUACUGAUUCCUCCUUCCUGAUGAACCGUAAUGCCAUUAAUUUGGUGUUGCGGGGAAUCUGGACUGUUACUUUGAAAAAAUUAGAGUGUUUAAAGCAGGCUAACGCUUGAAUACAUUAGCAUGGAAUAAUGAAAUAGGACGAUCGAUCCUAUUUUGUUGGUUUCUAGGAUUGACGUAAUGAUUAAUAGAGAUAGUUGGGGGCAUUAGUAUUCAAUUGUCAGAGGUGAUAUUCUUGGAUUUAUUGAAGACUAACUACUGCGAAAGCAUUUGCCAAGGAUGUUUUCAUUAAUCAAGAACGAAAGUUAGGCGAUCGAAGACGAUCAGAUACCGUCGUAGUCUUAACCAUAAACUAUGCCGACUAGGGAUCGGAUGAUGUUAAUUUUUUAAUGACUCAUUCGGCGCCUUACG